rnacentral:rRNA from 1 species
UACAGAGGUCCCGAGCGUUGUUCGGAAUUACUGGGCGUAAAGGGCUCGUAGGUGGCCAACUAAGUCAGACGUGAAAUCCCUCGGCUUAACCGGGGAACUGCGUCUGAUACUGGAUGGCUUGAGUUCGGGAGAGGGAUGCGGAAUUCCAGGUGUAGCGGUGAAAUGCGUAGAUAUCUGGAGGAACACCGGUGGCGAAGGCGGCAUCCUGGACCGACACUGACACUGAGGAGCGAAAGCCAGGGGAGCAAACGGG